AGAGUUUGAUCCUGGCUCAGGAUGAACGCUGGCGGCGUGCUUAACACAUGCAAGUCGAACGAACCUUCGGGUUAGUGGCGGACGGGUGAGUAACGCGUGAGAAUCUGCCCUCAGGAGGGGGAUAACAGUUGGAAACGACUGCUAAUACCCCAUAUGCCGAGAGGUGAAAUGAAUUUCGCCUGGGGAUGAGCUCGCGUCUGAUUAGCUUGUUGGUGGGGUAAUAGCCUACCAAGGCUUCGAUCAGUAGCUGGUCUGAGAGGACGAUCAGCCACACUGGGACUGAGACACGGCCCAGACUCCUACGGGAGGCAGCAGUGGGGAAUUUUCCGCAAUGGGCGAAAGCCUGACGGAGCAACGCCGCGUGAGGGAUGGAGGCCUUUGGGCUGUAAACCUCUUUUCUCAAGGAAGAAGAUCUGACGGUACUUGAGGAAUAAGCCACGGCUAAUUCCGUGCCAGCAGCCGCGGUAAUACGGGAGUGGCAAGCGUUAUCCGGAAUUAUUGGGCGUAAAGCGUCCGCAGGCGGCCGUUUAAGUCUGUUGUUAAAUCGUGGAGCUCAACUCCAUCACGGCAAUGGAAACUGUUCGGCUGAGUAUGGUAGGGGCAGAGGGAAUUUCCGGUGUAGCGGUGAAAUGCGUAGAUAUCGGGAAGAACACCAGUGGCGAAAGCGCUCUGCUGGGCCAUUACUGACGCUCAUGGACGAAAGCCAGGGGAGCGAAAGGGAUUAGAUACCCCUGUAGUCCUGGCCGUAAACGAUGAACACUAGAUGUUGGGGGAAUCGACCCCCUCGGUGUCGUAGCUAACGCGUUAAGUGUUCCGCCUGGGGAGUACGCACGCAAGUGUGAAACUCAAAGGAAUUGACGGGGGCCCGCACAAGCGGUGGAGUAUGUGGUUUAAUUCGAUGCAACGCGAAGAACCUUACCAAGGCUUGACAUCCUGCGAAUCUCUAAGAAAUUAGAGAGUGCCUUCGGGAACGCAGUGACAGGUGGUGCAUGGCUGUCGUCAGCUCGUGUCGUGAGAUGUUGGGUUAAGUCCCGCAACGAGCGCAACCCACGUUUUUAGUUGCCAGCAUUCAGUUGGGCACUCUAGAAAGACUGCCGGUGACAAACCGGAGGAAGGUGUGGACGACGUCAAGUCAUCAUGCCCCUUACGCCUUGGGCUACACACGUACUACAAUGCUGCGGACAAAGAGUAGCGAUCUUGCGAAAGUUAGCUAAUCUCAUAAACCGUGGCUCAGUUCAGAUCGUAGGCUGCAACUCGCCUACGUGAAGGAGGAAUCGCUAGUAAUCGCAGGUCAGCAUACUGCGGUGAAUACGUUCCCGGGCCUUGUACACACCGCCCGUCACACCAUGGAAGUUGGCCAUGCCCGAAGUCGUUACUCUAACCUUUUGGAAGAGGGCGCCGAAGGCAGGGCUAAUGACUGGGGUGAAGUCGUAACAAGGUAACC
rnacentral:rRNA from 1 species